ACGACCUUACUUGAACAGGAUCUGUUCUAUAGGCUCGUACCUCUGUAUCCUUGAGUUCUAAGGAGACAGGAAACUAAGCCUGGUGGAUGAACUAUGGCCAAGAGACUAGAGCGUGAUUAACAGCUCCAGACCUUCAUUGGGCUGAGCCGUAGAGGAUUGUUCUCAGCCAUGGGUUCAUGGUUGGGAUGGUCUCUUGGCUGUCUGACAGGCU
rfam:Ipomoea nil DNA, scaffold: scaffold3069, cultivar: Tokyo-kokei standard.